rnacentral:rRNA from 1 species
AACAAAAACAUGUCCUUUUGAUAUUUUAUAUAAGGUCUAACCUGCCCACUGAUUAAUUGAAUGGCCGCAGUAUUUUGACUGUGCAAAGGUAGCAUAAUCAUUAGUUUUUUAAUUAAAAGCUUGUAUGAAGGGUUGGACGAGGUAAAAUCUGUCUCUAUUUAAUUUAUUUUAGAAUUUAAUUUUUAAGUUAAAAAGCUUAAAUUAUUAUAAAAGACGAGAAGACCCUAUAGAUCUUUAUAUUGUUAUAAAUAAUUUUAGUUAGGAAUAUUUUAUUUUUUAUUUAUAUUAAUAUUUUAUUGGGGUAAUAAAAAGAUUAGAAAAAUUCUUUUUAAAGUUUAAUACUAAUUAGUAAUUGUUUGAUCCAAUAUUUUUGAUUAUAAGAUUAAGUUACCUUAGGGAUAACAGCGUAAUUUUUUUUGAGAGUUCAUAUCGAUAAAAAAGUUUGCGACCUCGAUGUUG